rnacentral:rRNA from 1 species
GACGAACGCUGGCGGCGUGCUUAACACAUGCAAGUCGAACGGACAGGCCCUGCUUUUGUGGGGUGCUCGAGUGGCGAACGGGUGAGUAACACGUGAGUAACCUGCCCUUGACUUUGGGAUAACUUCAGGAAACUGGGGCUAAUACCGGAUAGGAGCUCCUGCUGCAUGGUGGGGGUUGGAAAGUUUCGGCGGUUGGGGCUGGACUCGCGGCUUAUCAGCUUGUUGGUGGGGUAGUGGCUUACCAAGGCUUUGACGGGUAGCCGGCCUGGGAGGGUGACCGGCGACAUUGGGACUGAGAUACGGCCCAGUCUCCUACGGGAGGCAGCAGGGGGGAAUAUGGCGGAAUGGGCGGACGCCUGAUGCAGCAACGCCGCGUGCGGGAUGACGGCCUUCGGGUGGUAAACCGCUUUCGCCUGUGACGAAGCGGGAGUGACGGUAAUGGGUAAAGAAGCAACGGCUAACUACGUG